GAUGAACGCUGGCGGCGUGCCUAAUACAUGCAAGUCGAGCGAACAGACGAGGAGCUUGCUCCUCUGACGUUAGCGGCGGACGGGUGAGUAACACGUGGAUAACCUACCUAUAGACUGGGAUAACUUCGGGAGACCGGAGCUAAUACCGGAUAAUAUAUUGAACCGCAUGGUUCAAUAGUGAAAGACGGUUUUGCUGUCACUUAUAGAUGGAUCCGCGCCGCAUUAGCUAGUUGGUAAGGUAACGGCUUACCAAGGCAACGAUGCGUAGCCGACCUGAGAGGGUGAUCGGCCACACUGGAACUGAGACACGGUCCAGACUCCUACGGGAGGCAGCAGUAGGGAAUCUUCCGCAAUGGGCGAAAGCCUGACGGAGCAACGCCGCGUGAGUGAUGAAGGUCUUCGGAUCGUAAAACUCUGUUAUUAGGGAAGAACAAAUGUGUAAGUAACUAUGCACGUCUUGACGGUACCUAAUCAGAAAGCCACGGCUAACUACGUG
rnacentral:rRNA from 1 species